GACACAGGAUACAUACUGGAUACAACCUUCAAGUAACAAGAAAGGAGGAUGACAGAUGGAAUGAGGAUUAAAAAAAGAAGAAGAACAACAACAACAAAACUGUUGGUAUUGACGCAUGCGCGUCGUAGUGGGUGGGUGGGUGGGUGGGUUUCAGUCAAGAAAGUCCCAGAGGGCAUGGGUGCAAAAAUCUAUCCCCCUUUUUCUUGUUCGCCUGGGGAAUCCAAACAAUCAUUCAAAACAGUGAACAUCAAGAGAGGGCAGUCACUUUGUCAGUUCAUGGUCAGCCUACA